AUUGAACGCUGGCGGCAGGCUUAACACAUGCAAGUCGAGCGGGGUGAUGGUGCUUGCACUAUCACUUAGCGGCGGACGGGUGAGUAAUGCUUAGGAAUCUGCCUAUUAGUGGGGGACAACAUUCCGAAAGGAAUGCUAAUACCGCAUACGUCCUACGGGAGAAAGCAGGGGAUCUUCGGACCUUGCGCUAAUAGAUGAGCCUAAGUCGGAUUAGCUAGUUGGUGGGGUAAAGGCCUACCAAGGCGACGAUCUGUAGCGGGUCUGAGAGGAUGAUCCGCCACACUAGGACUGAGACACGGCCCAGACUCCUACGGGAGGCAGCAGUGGGGAAUAUUGGAAAAUGGGGGAAACCCUGAUCCAGCCAUGCCGCGUGUGUGAAGAAGGCCUUAUGGUUGUAAAGCACUUUAAGCGAGGAGGAGGCUACUGAGACUAAUACUCUUGGAUAGUGGACGUUACUCGCAGAAUAAGCACCGGCUAACUCUGUGCCAGCAGCCGCCGUAA
rnacentral:rRNA from 1 species